GUGAGUCAUCGAAUCUUUGAACGCACAUUGCGCCCGUUAGUAUUCUAGCGGGCAUGCCUGUUCGAGCGUCAUUUCAACCCUCAAGCCCCCACGGGCUUGGCGUUGGGGAUCGGCCCGCCCUCGCGCGGCGCCGGCCCCUAAAUCUAGUGGCGGACUCGCUGUAGCCUCCCCUGCGUAGUAGCACACCUCGCACUGGAACUAAGCGCUGUCCACGCCGUUAAACCCCCAACUUCUGAAUGUUGACCUCGGAUCAGGUAGGGAUACCCGCUGAACUUAAGCAUAUCAAUAAGCGGAGGA
rnacentral:misc_RNA from 1 species